UCCAUUCUGCGCGUCGUUUGUGUUUUCGCUAACAGGGCUUAAAUUUACUUUGGUUUUAACGCUGCUAUCGUCAACCUGUGUUUAUUAAACAAAAAUUGGUGCUGUGUAUCGUGAUAGUGGAAUCCUCCAAUAAAUACAGUUGGAAGAGCGGCAGUUUUAAGCGACGUGUGAAUAAGCGCUACGAAGAACUGCGAAAAAAAACUGUUCGGCGUGAAAGAGUGAAAGUGCACCGGGUCCUAGCAACCGUCCACAUCUAAUUGAUGUGUCCCGGUUGCAGGAUACCGUUCACAAUGAAAGUGAAGAAAGUGACAGUGAAGAUAGAUUUAUACAUAGAUAUUCAACAUUUUAUUCUUUUUAAUUCUUUUUAGAAGGAGGCCUCACUCUGUCGUUCAAGGCGGGGUUUUACGAAUGCACGUAAGAAUUCAAAUUCGUAUGUAAGAAAAGUAAAUCAUCAUAAAGUAAGUAACGCGGCCGGACCAAGAAAAGUGUGUAAGCAAUUCCCUGGUAAAAAAAUGGUCCACUAUUUGGAAACACACAUCUCGGCCGUUUUCCUGUGUGAGCGGUUUGUAUUGUGUGGUUUUAUACUUGAACUGAGUGAUAAAGUUUUCAUCACUGGCCUUGUCUUCAAAUUCAUCCAAUUGUUCAACCGUACUAAUUGGACUAAACACGCUUUGGUGACUCAUUAUCUCGUGCAGAAUCCUUUCGGCGACAUUGGGUUCCAUCAUGCGUGAUCCUGAUAGACAGAAUAGAGUGAAAUGCUUCCAAGAAUACACACCAAGCACGCACCAAACUACGCAUCGAACAAAAAGCCGGCUGGAACCAUCGAGCACAUUCGAUGUCAAAUCAACAAAAACAAUGUGUACGUCACCGAUGCGACUACCCUUCACCAACGCACUUCACACCCACCAACGCAGCAUCGCGCUAGGAGUGCACGAAUAUAGGUAGGGAAGAGUGAGUCGGCAAGCGAGCGAAAGAGACACAAAAACCCGACAAUAAACCGAAUC